UACGGGGGGAGCAAGCGUUGUUCGGAUUUACUGGGCGUAAAAGGGCGCGUAGGCGGCGCAACAAGUCACUUGUGAAAUCUCCGGGCUUAACCCGGAGCGGCCAAGUGAUACUGUCGUGCUAGAGUGCGGAAGGGGCUACUGGAAUUCUCGGUGUAGCGGUGAAAUGCGUAGAUAUCGAGAGGAACACCUGCGGCGAAGGCGGGUUGCUGGGCCGACACUGACGCUGAUGCGCGAAAGCCAGGGGAGCGAACGGG
rnacentral:rRNA from 1 species